ACUCCUACGGGAGGCAGCAGGCGCGAAAACUUUACAAUGCCGGCAACGGCGAUAAGGGGACCUCGAGUGCCAGGUUACAAAUCUGGCUGUCGUGAUGCCUAAAAAGCAUUGCAUAGCAAGGGCCGGGCAAGACCGGUGCCAGCCGCCGCGGUAACACCGGCGGCUCGAGUGGUAACCGUUAUUAUUGGGUCUAAAGGGUCUGUAGCCGGCCGGAUAAGUCUCUUGAGAAAUCCAGCAGCUCAACUGUUGGGCUUUCAGGAGAUACUGUUCGGCUCGAGGCCGGGAGAGGUGAGAGGUACUUCAGGGGUAGGGGUGAAAUCUUGUAAUCCUUGAAGGACCACCAGUGGCGAAGGCGUCUCACCAGAACGGACCUGACGGCAAGGGACGAAAGCUAGGGGCACGAACCGGAUUAGAUACCCGGGUAGUCCUAGCCGUAAACGAUACUCGCUAGGUGUCGGCCACGGUGCGACCGUUGUCGGUGCCGUAGGGAAGCCGUGAAGCGAGCCACCUGGGAAGUACGGCCGCAAGGCUGAAACUUAAAGGAAUUGACGG
rnacentral:rRNA from 1 species